UACGAAGGGGGCUAGCGUUGUUCGGAAUUACUGGGCGUAAAGCGUGCGUAGGCGGCUUCUCAAGUCAGGGGUGAAAGCCCAGAGCUCAACUCUGGAAUUGCCUUUGAGACUGAGUGGCUUGAGUACGAGAGAGGUGAGUGGAAUUCCCAGUGUAGAGGUGAAAUUCGUAGAUAUUGGGAAGAACACCGGUGGCGAAGGCGGCUCACUGGCUCGUAACUGACGCUGAGGCACGACAGCGUGGGGAUCAAACAGG
rnacentral:rRNA from 1 species